rnacentral:rRNA from 1 species
GAUGAACGCUGGCGGCGUGCUUAACACAUGCAAGUCGAACGGACUCAUAUUGAAACCUAGUGAUGUAUGAGUUAGUGGCGGACGGGUGAGUAACGCGUGGAGAACCUGCCGUAUACUGGGGGAUAACACUUAGAAAUAGGUGCUAAUACCGCAUAAGCGCACAGCUUCGCAUGAAGCAGUGUGAAAAACUCCGGUGGUAUACGAUGGAUCCGCGUCUGAUUAGCUUGUUGGCGGGGUAAAGGCCCACCAAGGCGACGAUCAGUAGCCGGCCUGAGAGGGUGAACGGCCACAUUGGGACUGAGACACGGCCCAA